UACGUAGGGUGCAAGCGUUGUCCGGAAUUAUUGGGCGUAAAGAGCUUGUAGGCGGUUUGUCGCGUCUGCUGUGAAAUUUCGGGGCUCAACCCCGAACUUGCAGUGGGUACGGGCAGACUAGAGUGUGGUAGGGGAGACUGGAAUUCCUGGUGUAGCGGUGAAAUGCGCAGAUAUCAGGAGGAACACCCGUGGCGAAAGCGGCUCUCUGGGACGGUACUGACGCAGAGACGCGAAAGCGUGGGGAGCGAACAGG
rnacentral:rRNA from 1 species